UACGAAGGGGGCUAGCGUUGCUCGGAAUACUGGGCGUAAAGCGCACGUAGGCGGGUCGUUAAGUCGGGGGUGAAAUCCUGGAGCUCAACUCCAGAACUGCCCUCGAAACUGGCGAUCUUGAGUUCGGGGAGAGGUGAGUGGAACUGCGAGUGUAGAGGUGAAAUUCGUAGAUAUUCGCAAGAACACCAGUGGCGAAGGCGGCUCACUGGCCCGGUACUGACGCUGAGGUGCGAAAGCGUG
rnacentral:rRNA from 1 species